rnacentral:misc_RNA from 1 species
CGCACAUUGCGCCCUCUGGUAUUCCGGGGGGCAUACCUGUCCGAGCGUCAUUAACACCCUCAAGCGUAGCUUGGUAUUGGGCUCCGUCGUUUACCCUCGGGGGGCGGCCGGCCUGAAAAUCAGUGAGCGGUCCGGGGAGAUCCUGCAUGCAAUAAAUCUUCCAUUCAGGCCUCGACCCGCGACUUGCCAUCGGGGCCACACCGUCAUUUUUGACAAUCGACCUCGGAUCAGGUAGGGAUACCCGCUGAACUUAA